rnacentral:misc_RNA from 1 species
GAUGAAGAACGCAGCAAAAUGCGAUACUUGGUGUGAAUUGCUGAAUCCCGUGAACCAUCGAGUUUUUGAACGCAAGUUGCGCCCGAAGCCUUUUGGCCGAGGGCACGUCUGCCUGGGCGUCACGCAUCGCGUCGCCCCCCACAAUUCUCCGUAAAGGGAACGUGUGUUUUGGGGGCGGAUAUUGGUCUCCCGUGCUCAUGGCGUGGUUGGCCGAAAUAGGAGUCCUUUCGAUGGACGCACGAACUAGUGGUGGUCGUAAAAACCCUCGUCUUUUGUUUCGUGCUGUUGCUCGCAAGGUAAACUCUUUAAAAACCCCAAUGUGUCGUCUCUUGACGACGCUUCGACCGCGACCCCAGGUCAGGCGGGACUACCCGCUGAGUUUAAGCAUAUCAAUAAGCGGAGGA